rnacentral:rRNA from 1 species
UACGUAGGGGGCAAGCGUUGUCCGGAAUCAUUGGGCGUAAAGAGCGCGUAGGCGGUCCGGUAAGUCCGCUCUGAAAGUCCGGGGCUCAACCCCGGGAGGCGGGCGGAUACUGUCGGGCUAGAGUCCGGAAGAGGCGAGUGGAAUUCCUGGUGUAGCGGUGAAAUGCGCAGAUAUCAGGAGGAACACCGGUGGCGAAGGCGGAUCUCUGGGCCGAUACUGACGCUGAGGAGCGAAAGCGUGGGGAGCGAACAGG